rnacentral:rRNA from 1 species
UACGAAGGGGACUAGCGUUGUUCGGAAUUACUGGGCGUAAAGCGCACGUAGGCGGAUUUGUUAGUCAGGGGUGAAAUCCCGGGGCUCAACCUCGGAAUUGCCUUUGAUACUGUCUGUCUUGAGUCCGGGAGAGGUGAGUGGAAUUCCUAGUGUAGAGGUGAAAUUCGUAGAUAUUAGGAAGAACACCAGUGGCGAAGGCGGCUCACUGGCCCGGUACUGACGCUCAUGUGCGAAAGCGUGGGGAGCAAACAGG